GGGUUGGCUCACCUAUUGGCGUAGGUAGCUGUCUGUAAAACAGUAGCUUAAAGCGUUGCAAGUUCAAAUCUUGCCCGACCCA
rfam:Phormidium ambiguum IAM M-71 NIES-2119_Scaffold_3, whole genome shotgun sequence.